GGAAAGGGAAGGGAAGGUUAGGGAAGGGAAGGUUAGGGAAGGGAAGGUUAGGGAAGGGAAGGUUAGGGAAGGGAAUGUAAGGAAAUGGAAGGGAAAGUUAGGGAAGGGAAGGAAAGGGAAGGGAAGGUUAGGGAAGGGAAGGUUAGGGAAGGGAAUGUAAGGAAAUGGAAGGGAAAGUUAGGGAAGGGAAGGAAAGGGAAGGGAAGGUUAGGGAAGGGAAGGUUAGGGAAGGGAAUGUAAGGAAAUGGAAGGGAAAGUUAGGGAAGGGAAGGAAAGGGAAGGGAAGGUUAGGGAAGGGAAGGUUAGGGAAGGGAAUGUAAGGAAAUGGAAGGGAAAGUUAGGGAAGGGAAGGAAAGGGAAGGGAAGGUUAGGGAAGGGAAGGUUAGGGAAGGGAAUGUAAGGAAAUGGAAGGGAAAGUUAGGGAAGGGAAGGAAAGGGAAGGGAAGGUUAGGGAAGGGAAGGAAAGGGAAGGGAAGG